AAACAUUGCCUCUGAACCUGCAUAUUAUCAUCAUUCUCAGGUAGUUAACAAAAUAUGAUCCAGAAAUCUGUUUCCUACAACAUAAUCCAUCAACACUGAGUCCUGGAUGCAAGCUUUAGAGAUAGAUUGUUGUUGGCUUAGAGAGACAUAGCAAACACAUUUCAGGCUGGAUUUGAAAUUCUCAGUCACAAACAUCUAAGGCAUAAGAAUUCUACAAAUGUACCUGUUAUGCACAACAA
rnacentral:misc_RNA from 1 species